ensembl:misc_RNA Metazoa_SRP Metazoan signal recognition particle RNA
GCUGGGCAUGGCGGUGCAUGCCUGUAGUCCCAGCUACUUGGGAGGCUGGGGCAGGGGGAUCACUUGAGCCCAGGAAGUCGAGAUUGCAGGGAGCCAAGAUCACGUCAUUGCACUCCAGCCUGGGUGACACAGUGAGACCCCGUCUCAA